rnacentral:rRNA from 1 species
AAUCAAGUGCCUUAAGGGUGUUCGGUGGAUGCCUUGGCGCUGAGAGGCGAUGAAGGACGUGCUACGCUGCGAUAAGCCGUGGGGAGCUGCGAAGAAGCUUUGAUCCGCGGAUUUCCGAAUGGGGAAACCCACCUUCGAUAGCCGGAACUCCAAGACCUUGUGUGUUGGGGUUCGACCAGAAAUGCGAGAAAUCAAACCGCGAGGUUUUGGAUUUCCGGUUAUCAAGAGAAGGUAUGAGACCUCCGAAUAAAAUAGGAGGUUUUAAGCAAACCCAGGGAACUGAAACAUCUAAGUACCUGGAGGAAAGGACAUCAAUCGAGACUCCGUUAGUAGUGGCGAGCGAACGCGGACCAGGCCAGUGAUACAUCAAAGACAAUCGGAACCUGUCAGGAAAGCAGGGCCUCAGAGGGUGAUAGCCCCGUACGAGUAAUGCGAUGAUGUAUCCACGAGUACGGCGGA